rnacentral:rRNA from 1 species
AUUGAACGCUGGCGGCAGGCCUAACACAUGCAAGUCGAGCGGCAGCGGGAAAGUAGCUUGCUACCUUUGCCGGCGAGCGGCGGACGGGUGAGUAAUGACUGGGAAAUUGCCCAGUCGAGGGGGAUAACAGUUGGAAACGACUGCUAAUACCGCAUACGCCCUACGGGGGAAAGCAGGGGACCUUCGGGCCUUGCGCGAUUGGAUAUGCCCAGGUGGGAUUAGCUAGUUGGUGAGGUAAUGGCUCACCAAGGCGACGAUCCCUAGCUGGUCUGAGAGGAUGAUCAGCCACACUGGAACUGAGACACGGUCCAGACUCCUACGGGAGGCAGCAGUGGGGAAUAUUGCACAAUGGGGGAAACCCUGAUGCAGCCAUGCCGCGUGUGUGAGGAAGGCCUUCGGGUUGUAAAGCACUUUCAGCGAGGAGGAAAGGUCAGUAGCUAAUAUCUGCUGACUGUGACGUUACUCGCAGAAGAAGCACCGGCUAACUCCGUGCCAGCCGCCGCAGUAACAC